rnacentral:rRNA from 1 species
AGUGAACGCUGGCGGUAGGCCUAACACAUGCAAGUCGAACGGCAGCACAGUAAGAGCUUGCUCUUACGGGUGGCGAGUGGCGGACGGGUGAGGAAUACAUCGGAAUCUACUUUUUCGUGGGGGAUAACGUAGGGAAACUUACGCUAAUACCGCAUACGACCUACGGGUGAAAGCAGGGGAUCUUCGGACCUUGCGCGAUUGAAUUAGCCGAUGUCGGAUUAGCUAGUUGGCGGGGUAAAGGCCCACCAAGGCGACGAUCCGUAGCUGGUCUGAGAGGAUGAUCAGCCACACUGGAACUGAGACACGGUCCAGACUCCUACGGGAGGCAGCAGUGGGGAAUAUUGGACAAUGGGCGCAAGCCUGAUCCAGCCAUACCGUGUGGGUGAAGAAGGCCUUCGGGUUGUAAAGCCCUUUUGUUGGGAAAGAAAAGCAGCAGGUUAAUACCCCGAUGUUCUGACGGUACCCAAAGAAUAAGCACCGGCUAACUUCGUG